UCCCACAGAAAUUACUAAAUCACUGUGUUAAUGGCACAGGCAGAAAGGCAAAAGUUUCCUGCGUAACCUGAAAUUUAAAGCCUCCCCAUUGUCAUUGUUUGGGUCCUUUUAUUUUUUUCACUCUUCAUUUUUUUCUCUCUUAGCGGAUCCCAGUCUUGCAGUCUCUUCCAUUAGAUGCCUGAGCUGAUCCCGUCUGCAAGUUGUAAGGCUGAAAUUUUGACAGCUUUGUCAUUUUCAUAGCUGUGAGGGUUGAUGUGGAGUUUAUACGAUUACUGCUGUCCAGGAAUACUUCACUACAUAACCAAGCAGAAGGUCAAGAGAAAGAGAGAAGGGGGAAGAAAAAAAAGAAAAAGAAAAAAAAAAAACCUCUAAUUAAAUCAGGAAGGGCUGAGUUGUGCCAUAAAACACAGGCACAACUUCAGGCAGGGCCUUAUGCUUGUAUCCAAGAGCAACAAUUGGCCCCGGUCAGGGGCUCACUUGUCACAACGGACAACAACAAAAUUGCCAUUAAAGUGAGCGAUUUCUUAAAGAACUGGCUUCCUUCUUUGCUGCGACCCUGCUAUUAAGGCCCUUCUCAAUUGAGCUUAAGGAAAGGCGAUGGAAAUCAGAGCUUGAUUAGCGUAAUGCAGAGAGUAGAGCGAGCUCUUGACUCGCAUCUGCUGCUUUUGCUCCUCAGAUGUGUGGUUUCUGGGCUCUGGCUUGGUAUGUACUGAAGCCAGACAGGGAUGCCCAGAUAGAAUUAAAGGGACGUAUGAGCCCUUUCUCUACAGAACAGAGUUGCUUAGGGCCUGACUCCAAGUUUUUGCAUGAUGGGUCCCUGCAGUCAGCAACUAGGCACCCUCGAGAAUUCCCAGGCACCCACACUCUUCCGAUCCAUUUUAGCUCACACCUUGCUGAGAUAGCACGUCAUAUCUGAGACCUACUAUGUGCCAGCCGUUGGCAAGACAUUAGUGCUUCAACAAGGUCAUAGGCCAGAGCUUUAUGUCUAACAGAGGGGCAGGGGAGCAAAAACUAUAAAUAUGAGGUGGUUUGGCAGUGAUGAGGCAGUGCUAACAUUUUUUUUAAAACUAUGAUUGAGCAUCUACUAUAUGCCAGUCACUGUUCAGAGUGCUUUAUAAUGAACAGGUCACUGUAUAUAAAUAUUAGACUGUCAUGCCAGGAGCACAAGGGGAGUUCCCACUGUGGCUCAGUGGGUUGCAAACCUGACUAGUAUCCAUGAGGAUGUGGGUUAGAUCCCUGGCCCUACUCAGUGGGUUAAGGAUCCAGCACUGCUGUGAACUGCAGUGUAGGUCGCAGUUGUGGCUUGGAUCCGGCGUGGCUGUGGCUGGCAGCUACAGGUCCGAUUCAACCCCUACCCUGGGAACUUACAUAUGCUACAGGUGUGGCCCUAAAAAGAAAAAGAAGAAGAAGAAGAAAAACCUUGCUAAAUGGAGAACACCUCAUAUAGAGAGGCUUAAUGUGUGAUGUAAGAUGAAAUCAUCCAGGAGGCAUAGUAUUCCUGCUGCAUAGAGAGCAAGAGGCAGGUGGCAUAGAAGGAGCUGUGGGUCAUGGAGUGGAAUGAUGCUUUUGUCCUAUGGGCAAUAGAGCCACUGGGGAAUUUUUAAGUAUGGAUGAUGUUCCUAUUUCCAUUUAGACUUGCUCCUGUCCCUGUUGAAUUCAGUGCUGGGCAAGUUAGCCCUGAAGCCCUCCCUUGACAAAACCUAACCCCGCCCCCCAGCUCCCGAGGGUGGCCCCUACCCUGACAAAGGUGCCUGGUAGAGUUCUGCAGGAUCAGAUUUCCUAACUUCCAAUUUGUUAACCAGUCAUGGAAAGAAUAGAGAUUUUUAGUUUUUAUUUACUGGUGGAAGCUGCUCAUGGGAAUAUCAUGUUCCCACAUCGAGUCUAAUGGCCUAGGGUUUCUCAGAAAGCAUCACCUGCUUAAAGUGGCCACCUGAGUGAAUCCCACUAAGUGCCCACCUGCAUCUGUGGAUGAGAGGCUCUGGGGAAGUUGGCUGGAGCAGCCGUGAACUCCUAGCUGCCUUUUCCACCAGGCUUGUGUCUAAAGGCCUCAGCGUCUCAUACUUACAGAUCAGGAAAACCAUCUUGCUGAGCUAUGCCUAUCUCUGACGGCCCAGUCACAUCACUAAGGGUCAAGUCAAAUAAGAAAGGCAGCAGCAGCGGAGAGGGAUGUAGAUGAAGCAGUAAUAUGUUAAUGAGCCGCAACAAGGCAUCCAGGAUGGCACCCGGACUGGUGAUGGUGUCCCCAAGCAAAGGUAGGCCACAGGGGAUGAGACAAUAAGAUAAUAUAUCAAGCCAGAAAGUUAAUCUUCUUCCUUAACCAUCUUGCUUCAGGUUGAACUCUCCAUGCUUCUGUGAGGCAGCUCCUAGAAAGGCAAAGAUUCACAUCCCACCCUGGAAAGCGAAAGAGUUUCUUGGGGACCCUUGCUAUGGCUAGUGGCAUUUGAUCCUUCAUGAGCAGGACCUGGGCUGGUCCAUUCUGAGCAGGGCUGCAUGUGUCCCAGUCAGUGAGGGUGGAGUUGAUGUUGUAAGACUGUCUAAACCUCUGAAAUGUGUCCAGAAGCGAAAGGAAACCAGUCAGGCCAAUCCAGGUUAAUGAACGGAGGCCUUCAGCUAUUACAUCACUGCCUGGGCAUCUGUUUUUUUUGUUUUUUCUUUUGUUUGUUUGUUUGUUUUUUUCAGAGCCACAGGUGUGGCAUAUGGAAGAUCUCAGGUUAGGGGUCAAAUCGGAGCUGAAGCUCCUGGCCUACACCACAUCCACAGAACACCAGAAGAUCCAAGCCACAUCCAUGACCCACUACCACAGCUCACGGCAAUGCCGGCUACUUAACCCACUGAGCAGAGCCAGGGAUUGAACCUAGUUGGGUUCCUUACCACUGAGCCACAACGGGAACUCGUGUUCAGGGUUCUGAAAGAGGGUAGAUUUACUAGAGAGGUUACCAGUUACACACACACACAUACACACACACACGGAACCGAGCUAAGCCCUAGGAACCACUAUGCUAUGGUGGGAAGGGCAGCAGAAUGUUGAAAAAGCAGGGAGAUUACAGGCCUGUUGAAAACUUGGCUGUUGCCUCUGAGCUUACAAGUAGGGCCGCAUCUUCUCUCUCUUUGUUCCCCCAUACGGUGCCAUGGACCAAAACAAACCUUCCACGGACAAAAAGCCAACCAGGAAUUGAAGUGCCCCCUUCGUGGCUCAGUCCACAGCCCAGGCAGGAGUUCCAUGCACUCCCUCCCUCACUGCAUCCCCCUUGGCACAGAGUUUUUGAGAGCAGAGUUCUGGCCUGCUUGGUCAUCUCAGGCCUGUGGAGCCUUCCUCAGUCCUAACCAUGCAUCUGCUUUCUAAAUUGAGAUGGUGAUGAAUUUUUAAAUUCUUGAACUUGUGCUGUAAUAAUCCUUCUGCCAUCCUACACAUUAUGAUGCAGGAAGGCAACAGAUGUGUUUUCUUAUGAUUCUAGGAACAUGAAAUAUGGAUGGGAGGAGGGACCAUGGAAGGGGUAGCGAGGUUUGCUUACGGUAAAGGUAGCCGUUCUCAUCCUGGCUUCUCAUUUUCUACCUUUCUCUCCUGACAGUUAGGACAGGAAGGAAGCCCCAAACCUGUGGUUCUCCAGGCUAGUUCAAGGAAAGCUCUUAAAAAGCUGUGCAGUGAAAUCUGUCUAAGAAGGUCUUUAUCAGUCUCCAGGGACCAAUCGCUAAUGUGGCUAAUACACAUUUGAUCUAUACAGAUGAUUUUUCCUUUGUCCCCCAGGGAACCUCCACAAACACUUUGGAUUUACAUGGUGCCAAGCCCAAGCAGCCUGUCGGAAAAUAAAUAGCAUCUUAACACCUUCAAGCAUCAGGCCUCAGGAUGAAAAGUAGCAUGUGGGCUCUUCUCUGAGUUUUCUAUCUGGGCUCUAGGACAUAAUCAAAACUUCAUUUUUAGAGCAUUUCUUUUCCUGGUGACAUUUCACUCUGAGGCACUGCAUUCUGAAGAGGAAAAGGCACAAAGUAAAGGUUCGGCUGGUUCAGAAAAAAAAGAAAAGAGAGUUUCAUCUAGGACAGUAUUUCCAAACAGAUGUCUGAGUGCCAUGUGGGUGCCAGUGUGUGUGGUACAAAUAUACAAGAUGUCCUUAAGAGGCAUGGAGAUGAUUUUUUUUAAUUUUGGUAUUUCUUUAUGUAUUGUAAUACCUAUUAGAAAUUAUAUACACACAGACAAGCAUGCAGGUGUAUGUAGUAAUAUAUCAUGAGCACUUCUAAGCCAUGAUUUCACGGAUAUUAUUAGCUAAGAUGAAGGCUCAAAUUAGAGUCAUUAAGUCAAUUUAAAGAAAAAUAUGAAGGAAAUGGAAUAAGGGAAGGGUGGAUGGAAUGACAGCUGUAGCAGCUACAGGGAAGGACUAGUCCAGAACGUAGCAAGAAAAUGACUAACAUCUGAGAAACGCUGAUCUAGGAAAAUCCCCCACCUACUGAAUUAGGAGGAGAGCCGGGACCAGCCCUGCACUUCCCCAGCCAGUAGUGAUGCGUGGGAAUCUGUGAACUCACACCCCCGGGCAGAGACAGAGACCACACCAAGGGCCUGUGGCUCCGUGGGAUUUGAAUCGCAAUUCCUGGUUGUCUAACGUCCUGUCUGCCUUGUGGUUUUAAGCAGAAAACCACAUAUUCAUGGUGCCUCCAUUCCAGCAAGUCUGAUCAAGCUUCUUCCCAAUGAAAGGAUAUAAGACAGGAUAUUGCCAGCUCCUCAGGAGACACACCUUUCAGAGACAGAGUCCUCCAACCAAGUUGGCUCUGCCCUGGAUUCUCAAGAGCUAGAGGAGAAUUGAUAACUUCUCUAGGAUGCAUUCACGUCCAUGAUGGGAAGAUGAGGAUGACAGUGAGUCUUUAGUGUAUGCCAGGCCCAGCACAUCAGGUCUCACCUUCAGAAAAGCAAGGCGAACCAGGCGCCAUUGCUUUCCGGGUGCAUCUCUAUAGACUAUAGACGCUAAACUUAGGACAUACACUGCUCAGAGACUCCAAGGCCAGUUCUGUCUGAGCAAGAGGUUGGACAUGAGAGGACUCUCUCCAGCUGUGAACACAUUAAGAAUGACUGCUCCUAUAACUCUGGUCCCAUCCACAAUGGGCAUUUAUUUGAACAUCCUACAAAGGUUUCCUUAGAAUAGUGCUCAGAUUUCAGCUUCCUCCCUGGCAACAGGAAAUCACAGAAUGAGAAAACUUUGACCGUGAUCUUUUUUUCAGGUCUGGCAAAGGGUGGAGAAGUAGGAGGCUAGUUGAUGUGGUAGGAAGCUAAUGAAGAUAAAAUAAUAAAUCCAUAUAAAUGAGAGGAAUUUCUGUGCCAGGGUUCACUUCCCAGCUCCAUCACCAGCCCUGAUGACAUUAGGAAAAUCCCUUAUCCUCCUUGAUCUUCUUUUUCCCUCACGUAUAUUACGAGGGAUUUGGACUAAAUGACCAUGUAAGUCCCAUUAAAACCCUUUCAAUCCACAUUAGGAUAAGUAAUUUAUCUUGAUUUUUGCCUUUCAUGUAGAACAGCUCAGAAGGAGAGAACUGGGUUGGAGGAUUGUUGUUAAAACACAAGGAAAACCUCACCUUCACUGGUGACUUGAUCUAAAAGAACAACAGAGCCACACUGUCCCAAAGGAUCCUGGGAAGGGUUGUAUAGGAUAUUGCGUUGCGGGGGGAAGGAAGAGCGAAUGGAAGGCAUGACAUAUGAGGCAACGUGGGCUACAUUCUACCCCAUCCCUAUACCCUCUCUUGGGGCCUCUGUACCAGAAGCCCUGCGGCCUCCUGACCCAGCCAUAACUUGGAAUGUUGUAGAGUCAACCAGUUUUUUGCAUAAGCUUCUGUACACGAGGAAAAUGCCAAGAGUCCUCUUCCUCAAGAACUUACCUUAAUGGAGUUCCCAUUGUGGUGCGGUGGUUAAUGAAUCCGACUAGAGAGGCCGUGAGGUUUCGGGUUCGAUCCCUGGCCUCGCUCAGUGGAUUAAGGAUCCAGCGUUGCCGUGAGCUGUGGUGUGGGUCGCAGACGCGGCAGCUCAGAUCUAGCAUUGCUGUGGCUGUGGCAUAGGCCGCGGCUACAGCUCUGAUUUGACCCCUAGCCUGGGAAGCUCCCUAUGCUG
rnacentral:lncRNA from 1 species